GACGAACGCUGGCGGCGUGCUUAACACAUGCAAGUCGAACGGAAAGGCGCUGCUAUCGUGGGGUGCUCGAGUGGCGAACGGGUGAGUAACACGAGUGUAACCUGCCCUUGACUUUGGGAUAACUUCAGGAAACUGGGGCUAAUACCGGAUAGGAGCUCCUGCUGCAGGGGGGGGGGUGGAAAGUUUCGGCGGUGGGGGAUGGACUCGCGGCUUAUCAGCUUGUUGGUGGAGGAGUGGCAUACCAAGGUUUUGACGGGUAGCCGGCCUGAGAGGGUGACCGGCCACAAUGGGACUGAGAUACGGCCCAGACUCCUACAGGAGGCAGCAGUGGGGAAUAUUGCACAAUAAGCGCAAGCCUGAUGCCACCACGCCGCGUGCGGGAUGACGGCCUUCGGGUUGUAAACAGCUGUAGCCUAUGACGAAGCGUGCGUGACGGUACUGGGUAAAGAAGCACCGGCUAACUACGUG
rnacentral:rRNA from 1 species